CACUCGGUGCUGUCCACUGCCGCAAUUCACGAGCUGUUCGUGCAGCCCUUCUCAUGCAAUACUCUGGGGAAUUCUCCUAAGCUUUAUGGCAGCCCAGCAGCACAAUGAAUUCAUCCUUUGGUAGCUUUCACUGAAUGAGGACGCCAAUUGGUACGGAGAGGUUUUUUUUUCUGUACAGCACAACGCAAAAACACACUGAUAUGUGAACAGAAGCUGUAUGUGCUACUGGAAUGCAGAUAAAACAUUAGCAUAUUAUUAAGGCUUUUGUCUUGCAAGGAUAGCAUCCUGGAAAAACAAAAAUAUUGUCUCCAAGUCUGAUCUUGGACCAAAGAGCAAGAGCCCUGUACAUCCAUGUACACCUGUACAUCUAGCAGAGCCUUGUACAUCCAUAUACACCUUGUACAUCCAUGUCCAGAUAAAACCCUUGAAUUCUCAGCUGUGCAACCACCUCCACUUGAGCAGCCCCGAGCCAGCCAGCAUAGAGCCACCAGGACAGAUGUAACGUGCCAGGAACCUUUCUGCUGGGAGCAAAAAGCAGGACCGCCAUGCAGGGCACUUCUUGGCUAUAUUAACAGAUAAAUAGAAUACUACAGGGCUACUUCAGCAACCACUGAAGGACUUCAGGACAAAGCCUUGUAAGAGUUAUGCACCUUGAGACAUACUGGGUAAGACUAAAAAAUCACAAGUGGAUUGGAUGUCUCAGGUAGAGUGAGCAGGAAAUUCAGGUGCUUUCAACGGACCUGAAUUUUUAGAAAUAUUGUACUCCCUCCCUCCAGAACAGAUUCUAUAACAGAGCGCCCCAAGUCGCUUCCCACCUGUAACAUGCUGGCCACUACACAAAGAAUUGCCCCAAAGGUUAUUAAGGUGGGGAUUUUCGGCCAAGGGUUGUUGAAAGCACAGCCAAGUAAUGGGAACAAAUCCCCUUAGACUUCAGUGGAUUUCUGCAGCUCAGCAGAAAAUCUUACCUAGGCCACCCAAAUAUAUUUUUAAUAGUGUGCUCAAAAAUCUUGAAAUCCUGCUGAACGUUGUCAACUUGUAACUUUUAGCCAGAUGCCAAAGAUAUGGCACAGUUUUAAAGUUUUACUGUCCUCA
rnacentral:lncRNA from 1 species